rnacentral:tRNA from 1 species
GUCGAUAUAGCUCAGUUGGUAGAGUGCUUGCCUAUCAUGCAUGAAGCCUUGGGUUCAAUUCCCAGAAUAACA